ACGGUGAAUGCAUGUACGCCCUGUAUUAACAAUGUAUAUGAUAAAAUAUGUUAGUUCGCAGGUCUUAAACUAAUUAAACUAAUCUGAGUGGCAUCUAAUUAAAAAAAGCAGCUAUCAACGUUGGCUCGCGAUCGGGUUUGAAAAUAUCAAACGGCUGGUCUAUUUGUCAGAAAAAAAUUUCGAUUGUAACAUCGUUUAUCUGUAACCGUCCAUCAUCGAAGAUAUUUAGAAAUUGUGGCGUUGAGAGAAGGGGAGAAUAUGCCUUGCUAGGCUGGAGCUAGAUAUUGCGAAAGAGAGGGGGAGAGAGAGAGAGAGAGAGAGAAAGAGAAAGUUCGGAGAUAAACAGUUGCUGAUUACUAACUGCGUACACGUGUUAUGAUCCGGACAGGCCGAGUCAUUCGAGAUUGUUUUGUAUGAUUGAUCUCUCAGUUGGAGAGCGCGCUCGAAUCUCUACGUGAUUGUAUUUACUUCAACGUCGUGAUGCGGAUACAUUUGUCAACUGUCAACCGUUAGAUGAACGCAGACCGCCGCGCGGGAAAGACAGCCAGGGAGAACCGAGAGGUCGUCGUCUGACGGAUGGAAAUGGCAGCGGAGCUCGACGGCGAGCAGUCACACCCGCAGUGCAUCGAAUUACCCCCCACCGUCGAAGUGUUCGCCAAUUUGAGGAACGCGCAAACGUUCGCGAUCGACAUCGGUUUGUCGCUUACCAAAAUUGCGUAUUACUCGACGAUAAGUUAUCGCAAGGCGCUUUAUGAAAAUGCAGGCUUGGGAAAUAGUGGGGAACGAGCGUACAAAGUAUUCGAGGGUAAUAGACUGCAUUUUGUUAAGUUUGAAACGAGAUAUAUCGAGAACUGCCUAGAUUUUGUCAAGGAGAAUUUAGUGGACGCUGACCGGUUUCAUGGCAAAAGUAUUAAAAUAACCGGAGGAGGGGCAUUUAAAUAUACUCCAUUGCUGCAAGAAAAAUUAGGAUUGUUAGUCGACAAAGAAGAUGAGAUUGAUUGCCUUAUAAAAGGUUGCAACUUUUUACUGAAAAACAUACCCUCCGAAGCCUUUGAAUAUGAGCGACACGCAAAUCCAGAAUAUAACUUUCAAAAAGCCACCCCUAAUAUAUUUCCAUAUCUGCUGGUUAAUAUUGGCAGUGGUGUCAGUAUUCUUAAAGUAGAAUCCGAUGAGGUAUUUGAAAGAGUUGGGGGUACAGCUACAGGAGGUGGUACAUUUUGGGGGCUGGGAUCUUUGCUCACAAAGAGAAAGGGCUUUGACGAAUUGCUGCAACUUGCAGAACAGGGAGAUCACCGUAAUGUAGACAUGUUAGUGAAAGAUAUUUAUGGAGGUGAUUAUUCCUCUCAAGGUUUACCCGGAGACCUUAUUGCGUCAUCUUUCGGCAAGGCAGUGUCUUGUGGACCGCCAACAUUUUCCGAGGCUGACCUCGUGAGGAGUUUGUUGUUCACCAUUAGCAAUGAUAUUGGCCAAAUAGCUAGUCUAUACGCCACCGUGUACAAUAUGGAUAAGGUUUACUUCGGUGGUUAUUUCCUUCGUAACCAUCCACUAUCAAUGCACACCAUUUCAUAUUCCAUCAAAUAUUGGUCUCACGGUAAGGUAAAGCCUCUCUUUCUUCGCCAUGAAGGUUACCUUGGCGCGAUUGGGGCGUUUUUAUACGGCACUGAACAAUCAGAUAAAUGCAGCUGGUUGGAAAACUACGCUGGGUCGUCGGGUUUUAAGGAUUCCGUGUCGAGUGACCUCGGAAUUAAGGUUGAUCAAUUGGAAAUUGAUCAAGCGGAAAAUGCUGUCACAUUUUGUCCCCUGUUGAAAGACCCCGCAACCUAUAACCCUGAUACUACAGACCUCGCUCAAGAUAAAGAAGCCAGGGAUUAUUGGCUGCAGUGUUUCGAGGAAUCCGUUGAUAAAUUCGUGGCGCGAGCUAUUCAUAGUCAACCACACAGUCCAACCGCGAAAGACAGAGCGUCGAAACUCAAAGAGAAAUAUAUUAAUAGGUUACACUACCUCCAUGCGCAGCCAUUUGCAUAUGGAACGCUUACUGUUAGAAUAUUAUUAGAUACCAUUGAACAUUGCAUGAAAGAGUUUGACUUUCCAGAUCCAUAUUUACAUCAAAAGAAAAAAGAGAAUGAAGAAGCACUGAGACAUCUGCAGGAUCGCAUCACGGCUCUGGAUAAGUUAGAAGGUGCGGAAAAGAUAAAAGAUUUAAUCCUGGGCGUUCUCAGUGGCAAUAUAUUUGAUUGGGGUGCGAAGGACGUCGCGCAACUGUUGGAAACCACUGACUUCGGCUUCGAAGAAGCUCAGGCGAGAAUUCCAGGUAGACCGUGGCUGCAGGACAAUCUGGACAGUUGGAUAAACAGAUUACAAAACGGACCACCUCACAAGUGCGCGGCCAUUUUCGUCGACAACAGCGGCGUGGAUAUCGUUCUCGGAAUCUUGCCAUUCGCGCGUGAUCUGUUACAACGAGGAACGAAAGUAAUAUUGUGCGCUAAUUCAAUGCCGGCCUUGAAUGACGUGACGUAUCCCGAAUUGGUCGUAACGCUGCGGGACGCCGCAAAAAUUUGCGACGUUAUCAAACGUGCUUUGGAAAACAGUACACUUAUCGCCAUGGAAACCGCGCAAGCUGGUCCUUGCCUGGAUCUGAGUCGUCUGAGUUUGGAUCUGUGUCUUGCGAUGGUGAAGCAUAACGUGGAUCUUAUAGUUAUCGAAGGAAUGGGUAGAACUUUGCACACGAAUCUUCAUGCCAAAAUGAAGUGCGAAUGCCUGAAAUUGGCGGUUAUUAAAAAUCGGUGGCUAGCUCGUCGCUUAGGUGGCGAUAUGUACGCUGUGAUAUGCAAAUACGAGGAACCACUACCGAGAGCGAACAUUAGCGAUAUCGACUUAAAGUCGGGGACAAUGGGAAAGGAUUGUCCGGCGGAAUGUACAAGACAGGCGACAGAGCUUUGCGUGCGCGACGGUUCUAACUGAACGAGCAGUAAAACACAUUGAUAUAAGAUUAUCUGUAGAGCAGAUUAAUUAAAUAUACAACACAUUGCCUUCCUAAAACUAAAAUCAAUGACGAGGUCAUGUGCACAUACGCUUAAAUUAUAGGAAUGGAGAUCGAUCGAUCUGCCGCGAGUUGUAGGAAAAAUUCGCAUUGUAUUGUGUACGAUACGAUAUUUUCUGUGAUACUACCGAUGUACGAUACGCAAUAAAGAUACAUACAAUGCCGUGAGUGAAUAUCGCAAACUAAGGAAGGCCGCGAUUCGCAAGCUGUAAUAUCCAAAUAAGGGCAAAUCCGACACGUGUAAUGCAUUUUAGCCGCAUCGAGGUACCUCACUCGAAAUUCACCCAUCACGACGAAGAACACGAGAGAAGGAAAUUGUAUAUUUUUAUCUUAUUCGAUAAAUAAAUGGAGAAACGAGAAAGCAAAAGAGAAGCGCUGGUUGAGUACAUUUUCGCCCCGGGAAGGGAGGAGAGGGGUAGCGUCUGGCGAAAAGAAACAGAGAAGAAGGAAGUCCGGAAAUCCGGCAUAUGGCGCCGGAUUCGAUAGCUUUCGCUUUAUCCCGGAGCUUUAUGCGCGUGAUCGGAAAAUAAGCGGAGCGCCGAGGUAGUCGCCAGACAGAGGAGAGGAAUUGGGAACUGCAACGGGGAUCGGCUGAUAGAGGAGUGGAGGGAAGAGGGUGCUGUGCAUGCUGGACACGCUCCACGUCCAUUUCUUUCAGCCACGCUCUACGCAGUGUCCAAGUCGGAGCUUUAUUAAAUUCCCGUUCCACGAUAUUGUCCAGUCUGGAGUAGCAGACUGGCGCGCACAAGCUGGCUCAAACAAUUAUCUCCCAAUUUGUGCCGACGCGAUAAUCGAUAUCUCCUCGAAUAUCGCCUCGGAUAUCUCCCCGAUAUCGGUGCGCACUGUAUGCCAUCAAUCUUACACAGUCCUGUCCUAUCUGAUAUUUAUUAGGGGAUACUCAUAAGUAAUAAAAUAUUUAUUCUUCUUCUUAUCAGUAACUACUCUUGAUCCGCGCUAUAAAUAAUAUUUUUUUAGUAUACUAUUUGGAUAAAGCUUUCGAUUAGUUACAUCGUUGUUCUCAAAAUAAAAGGCUCCGUCUGUUGAAAUAUGUCUUAUUUUGAAGUGCUCGAUCACUUACA